UCCCUACGGGGGGCAGCAGUGGGGAAUUUUGGACAAUGGGCGCAAGCCUGAUCCAGCUAUUCCGCGUGUGGGAUGAAGGCCCUCGGGUUGUAAACCACUUUUGUAGAGAACGAAAAGACACCUUCGAAUAAAGGGUGUUGCUGACGGUACUCUAAGAAUAAGCACCGGCUAACUACGUGCCAGCAGACGCGGUAAUACGUAGGGUGCGAGCGUUAGUCGGAAUUGCUGGGUGUAAAGGGUGCGGAGGCGGUUGAGGAAGACAGAUGUGAAAUCCCCGAGCUUAACGCGGGACUGGCAUAUGUGAC
rnacentral:rRNA from 1 species